rnacentral:rRNA from 1 species
GAUCCUGGCUCAGGAUGAACGCUGGCGGCGUGCUUAACACAUGCAAGUCGAACGGGAAACCUUUUAUUGAAGCUUCGGCAGAUUUAGCUGGUUUCUAGUGGCGGACGGGUGAGUAACGCGUGGGUAACCUGCCUUGUACAGGGGGAUAACAGUCAGAAAUGACUGCUAAUACCGCAUAAGCGCACAGGACCGCAUGGUCCGGUGUGAAAAACUCCGGUGGUAUAAGAUGGACCCGCGUUGGAUUAGCUUGUUGGG